rnacentral:lncRNA from 1 species
UAAGUUGCACCAGGAAUCAAAUCCUCAGUCCUGAUAGGAGGCAUGUCACUCUUCCUAAUGGGUCUUGUUCGCUUAGAUCGAGCAGUAGUGGAGCUUCCAUCUGAUUUAGCAGAGGAAUCUUCGUUUGUUUCAAUAGCAUCUAAUGGACUUUCAGAGACUUCACCAGUAUCUUUAUCAGCUCCAGGCAAAUCAGUCUCUUCUACUGCUACAUCAGUCUUGGUUGCCAAUACUAUAUGGCCCCUCUGCCUUCCUUCGACAAUUACAUACCUUGUACUGGUAUUGAAGACCUCUGCCUCCAUUUCCCCCGCUUAUUGGUCGAGAGCUUGAGGA